rnacentral:tRNA from 1 species
CACUAAAAAGCUUAAAGUAAGUGUUGAUCUUUUAAAUCAACUAUGAUAAAUCCGCCUAUCUUUAGUGG